AUUGAACGCUGGCGGCAGGCUUAACACAUGCAAGUCGAGCGGGGUGAUGGUGCUUGCACUAUCACUUAGCGGCGGACGGGUGAGUAAUGCUUAGGAAUCUGCCUAUUAGUGGGGGACAACAUCUCGAAAGGGAUGCUAAUACCGCAUACGACCUACGGGAGAAAGCAGGGGAUCACUUGUGACCUUGCGCUAAUAGAUGAGCCUAAGUCGGAUUAGCUAGUUGGUGGGGUAAAGGCUUACCAAGGCGACGAUCUGUAGCGGGUCUGAGAGGAUGAUCCGCCACACUGGGACUGAGACACGGCCCAGACUCCUACGGAAGGCAGCAGUGGGGAACAUUGGACAAUGGGGGGAACCCUGAUCCAGCCAUGCCGCGUGUGUGAAGGAGGCCUUAUGGUUGUAAAGCACUUUAAGCGAGGAGGAGGCUCUUUUGGUUAAUACCCAAGAUGAGUGGACGUUACUCGCAGAAUAAGCACCGGCUAACUCUGUGCCAGCAGCCGCCGUAA
rnacentral:rRNA from 1 species